rnacentral:rRNA from 1 species
GACGAACGCUGGCGGCGUGCCUAACACAUGCAAGUCGAACGGUACAACCCCUUCCAUUUUGGCGGGGGUGGAUGAGUGGCGAACGGGUGAGUAAAACGUCAGUAACCUGCCCCCUACUUCUGGAUAACCCCAUGAAAGUGUGGCUAAUACGGGAUAUUCCGGCUCUGUAUCAUGACGGGUCUGGGUAUGUUAUUGUUCCGGUGGAAGAUCACCUAGUGGCCAAUCAGCCUGUUGUUGGGGUGAUGGCCUACCAACACGGUGACGCAUAGACGGCCUGAGGAGGUGGACGGGCAGGCGGUUGCGGAUACACGGCCAAAACUCCGAGGGGACGCUGCCGAGAGGAAUAUUGCACAAAGAGCGCAAGCCUGAUGCAGCAACGCCGCGAGAGGGAUGAAGCCCUUCAGGUUGAGAACCUCAUUCGUCAGUGUAGCAGUGCUGCUUCGUUUGUGUGUGGGUUGACGGUAGCUGGAGAAUAAGCCCCGGCUAACUACGUG